GAACGUGAAAUAGAUUCCUAUAUUUGGUUACGGUCCAAAGAGAUAAUUCGUUUU
rnacentral:tRNA from 1 species